CCCGCGGCCCCUCCAUGACGCAGUUCCGUGUGACGCUCUGAGGGACGUCCGGGCGGGCGGAUUUGAAAUUGCGAGCGGGCGGCGGCGCUGGCGGUCUACUUCUUUAUUCUGAGCUUUUGGGAAAUCAUUGUGGCAUUUAGAAAACAAAAUACCCUUAGACCCUGUAUUUUCUGACACUGCUGCAAUACUGAGGGAUUUACAGCAGUCACAAUGAGGCGAAGCUCAAGUAUUGCUGGAAGCAGCAGCCGACAAUCUAUGAUGGCACUGAGAGUGGAGGACAGCAACAAGAUGGGUCUUCAAACACCUCAGAUGAAGGACAGAAGCACCCUUGGGAAGCUGAGCAUGAGCAAACCUACAUCUGGAGCUUCAGAAGGAAAAGCCAGCUGUUCUGGGAACAGGUAUGUAUAGGUUUUGUUCUCUGCACUGUAUAUUAAAACAAAAAUGGUCCUAUAUAAUUUUGGAAUUUUUCUUUCUUGACUGGUUUUUGUUAUAGGGAAUAAUGGAUCCGAGGCAAGCAGACCUUCAGGCCUGCCUUCCUCCAGUCCUUGAUCAAUAAACAAUAAUGUUGUGGAGCAGGAAUUGCUUUGG